UACGAAGGGUGCAAGCGUUACUCGGAAUUACUGGGCGUAAAGCGUGCGUAGGUGGUUCGUUAAGUCUGAUGUGAAAGCCCUGGGCUCAACCUGGGAAUGGCAUUGGAAACUAACGGGCUCGAGUGUGGCAGAGGGGGGUGGAAUUCCACGUGUAGCAGUGAAAUGCGUAGAGAUGUGGAGGAACACCGAUGGCGAAGGCAGCCCCCUGGGCUAACACUGACGCUCAGGCACGAAAGCGUGGGGAGCAAACAGG
rnacentral:rRNA from 1 species